rnacentral:rRNA from 1 species
GGAAACCUCACCAGGUCCAGACAUAGGAAGGAUUGACAGAUUGAGAGCUCUUUCUUGAUUCUAUGGGUGGUGGUGCAUGGCCGUUCUUAGUUGGUGGAGUGAUUUGUCAGGUUAAUUCCGUUAACGAACGAGACCUUAUCCUGCUAAUUAAAGGCGGGAACACUGUUUUCCGUUCCUUUUCUUAGAGGGACUUUGCGUGUUUAACGCAAGGAAGUUUGAGGCAAUAA